CUACGGGAUGCUCCAGUGGGGAAUCUUGCGCAAUGGGCGAAAGCCUGACGCAGCAACGCCGCGUGCGGGAAGAAGGCCUUAGGGUUGUAAACCGCUUUCAGCAGGGAAGAAAAUGACUGUACCUGCAGAAGAAGGUGCGGCCAACUACGUGCCAGCAGCCGCGGUGACACGUAGGCACCAAGCGUUGUCCGGAUUUAUUGGGCGUAAAGAGCUCGUAGGCUGUUCAGUUAGUUGGGUGUGAAAACUCCGGGCUUAACCCGGAGCCGCCACCCAAUACUGCUGUGACUAGAGUUCGGUAGGGGAGCGGGGAAUUCCUAGUGUAGCGGUGAAAUGCGCAGAUAUUAGGAGGAACACCGGUGGCGAAGGCGCCGCUCUGGGCCGAAACUGACGCUGAGGAGCGAAAGCAUGGGUAGCAAACAGGAUUAGAUACCCGGGUAGUC
rnacentral:rRNA from 1 species